ensembl:snoRNA
AUCCUUCUGUGGUCCAUAAGCAUGAUGAUGGGGUUUUCGUAUUAUCAUGAGAUGUGCUUCCCUCCAAACUAUUACACUGCCUGCACAUCACCCAUCUGACU